CAUAUCCUCUCUCUCCGCUCCCUCCGACCUUCACCUCACCACUUCCAUCACCAUUCACCACCACAGACAACGGAAUCUCCAUCCACUACUUUCAUCACCACAACAAAACCUUCUUCUUCAUCUUCUCCACUGAUUUAAUUCGUUUCCUCAAAAUCAACGAAACCCACAAGAACCCUAAAAUACAAAUCUGCAUCGUUUCUCACUUCACAAAUUCAAAGUUACUGUAGAAAUCAAAGCUUUAUCUUAACCCAUAUCUCAAAAUAAAAACCCAUGUAUCAUAAGAAAUCAAGAGGAAACUCUGUAACACUAGAUCUAGUUAUUUUACACCUGAAAUCAGCAGGUUAGGUGUUUCCUUUUUCUAUUUUUCCUUGCAAGAGAGCUAAUCCAGGGGUAGAAGAUCUCUUCUCCUAGAAACUUCGCAAAAGAAGGAUUUAACCCCAUCAUAAAAUGGGUAUCCUACACCAGCAUAAUAGAUAAUCCAAAGUCAUAUUCAAGGAUUAUAAUUGUCAUCAUAUGACAAUGACACUCUCAGAAAACCAAGGUUCGUAAAUACUGACUUCAAGCAUUAGCCCUUGUUGAUAUUGGAUUAAGUUAGCUACUGGUUGGAGCCUUGGAGGCCAUGUGCAUUUUAGGAGGAAAUAAAUGCUUUUUAUUUUUCUAUUUUCGGCAUGAGUUGGCAUCAAUGAGUAUACAAGGAGAGCUGCAAUACGAGGACAAUAUAAUGAGAGCAAAUGAGUUCUUAUUACAUGACAGAAUCUUGCACUUGAAUUGUUCAGUUAACACCAAGGAGAAUACAAGGAGGUGGGAAUACUGGAAAUGCUUGUGAUGCUCGCCUGGCUUUGAGUAGUGUGCUGGUUAUUUAGAUUAUAACACAGACUUUUGCGUAAAGGAAAGAAUGGAUACAUAGUUCUUCUUUUGCUUGACGUAUUUCCCAGGAGCCUCUGAUCCUUGAUAUGCACCUUGUGUUAUUCAGGAUGAACUACACAGCGUAUCAAAAAUUACAGUUACUGAAGCAGUGCAGUGGAUGGAAGAAAGAGCUGUCUCGUCGGUUCUAUCCUCGUCUUCCUCAUUGAGAUUUUCUAGAUUGGUUGUUUACACUACUUAUUGCCUUGGUUGGAAGAUGAAAUAGAUGACUUUGUGAUCAGUGGAGGAAAACAUAUGCAACAAGUGAGAUCACACUCCAAAUAUACAAUUUCCCAAUUGCCAUUCUUUGUUUAAGAACUAAGUGGAUGAUGAUGAGUGGUUCAUUGUGCUAUUAUUAAAACUUUAUCAUACUAUCCAAGUUUAUUUUAGUUAACUGAUAUUGAAACUUUUUUGUUGCGGGUGAGUUGAUCAUUGGACAAAUUAUAUUUUUGCGGGUUUGCACCUGUUCUUUAACAAA